rnacentral:rRNA from 1 species
CACAUGCAAGUCGAGCGGAAACGAUCCUAGCUUGCUAGGAGGCGUCGAGCGGCGGACGGGUGAGUAACACGUGAGAAUCUGCCCAUUAGUGGGGGAUAACCUGGGGAAACCCAGGCUAAUACCGCAUAAUCCCUACGGGGGAAAGCAGGGGACCUUCGGGCCUUGUGCUGAUGGAUGAGCUCGCGUCGGAUUAGCUUGUUGGUGAGGUAAUGGCUCACCAAGGCGACGAUCCGUAGCUGGUCUUAGAGGAUGAUCAGCCACACCGGGACUGAGACACGGCCCGGACUCCUACGGGAGGCAGCAGUGGGGAAUCUUGGACAAUGGGGGCAACCCUGAUCCAGCCAUGCCGCGUGUGUGAAGAAGGCCUUCGGGUUGUAAAGCACUUUCAGUAGGGAGGAAGGCUUAUCCUUAGUACGGAUGAGUACUUGACGUUACCUACAGAAGAAGCACCGGCUAAUUUCGUGCCAGCAGCCGCGGUAAUACGAAAGGUGCGAGCGUUAAUCGGAAUUACUGGGCGUAAAGCGCGCGUAGGCGGUUUGCUAAGUCAGAUGUGAAAGCCCCGGGCUCAACCUGGGAACUGCAUUUGAAACUGGCAGGCUAGAAUGCAGUAGAGGGAGGUGGAAUUUCCGGUGUAGCGGUGAAAUGCGUAGAGAUCGGAAGGAACACCAGUGGCGAAGGCGGCCUCCUGGACUGACAUUGACGCUGAGGUGCGAAAGCGUGGGGAGCAAACAGGAUUAGAUACCCUGGUAGUCCACGCCGUAAACGAUGUCUACUAGUCGUUGGGAAUCUUAGUAUUCUUGGUGACGAAGUUAACGCGAUAAGUAGACCGCCUGGGGAGUACGGCCGCAAGGUUAAAACUCAAAUGAAUUUGACGGGGGCCCGCACAAGCGGUGGAGCAUGUGUUUAAUUCGAUGCAACGCGAAAACCUUUACCAGGCUUGACAUCCUUGGAACUUUCUAGAGAUAGAUUGUUGCCUUCGGGAGCCAAGUGACAGUGCUGCAUGCUGUCGUCAGCUCGUGUCGUGAGAUGUUGGGUUAAGUCCGUACGAGCGCAACCCUUGUCCUAGUUGCCAGCACAUAUGGUGGGACUCUAGGAGACUGCGUGACAAUCGGAGGAGGUGGGACGACGUCAAGUCAUCAUGCCCUUACGCUUGGCUUACCACGGCUACAAUUGGCAAUACGAGCAACGAGGUCCCGGAGGCCAGACAAAAUCCUUUAAACUGUUUCUGUAAUUCCCGGGAGUUGGAAUGUUGCAACUACUGCCUACUCCUUAGAAAGAUCCGCGCA